GGGGCCUGCAGUCAGGUCCGGAGCUCCAGAUGGCGAGCUGCGUGGAGGGUGAGGAGGAGUGCCUGAGGCUUAGAGCCGCGUGGGGAGGGUCCCGGUGCGCCGGAGGAGGGCGGACUGGCGGGAGCGAUCUGGGAGAGAGGCUCAGGCUGAGGUCACAGGCAGGGAAGAGCUCCUGCCCUUGAGGGAGAGGCCGGCUAGCUGGAGACGGUCAGUAAAGGACACUUGCCUCUUCCAAUCGUCGUUCAGAAACUAGUGAAGAUGACACACAAGUAGGAUGAUAUUAAAAUACCAGCCUUCCACAUAUACAAAGUAGUUUGGAAGACAUGCCUGAGAUCUGCAAUCAAGAGGGGAAUACUGACCCACCCCUAAAUCAGACAAACAUCUCCCUCAACCCCUGACCAGAUGGGCAGCUGCAGCCUCCAGGCCACAGAGCUGCCUCACCGACCACCAUGCAGCCAAGUGCAGGUAAGAAGAUACCACCAGCCUGUGGACCCCACAAAGUGUACUCAGAGGAGCCUGAGCAUACUUUACCCUGUCCAUUCUCCCAAAUUCACCAAUCCAUACUUCGCUGGGAGUAGAAAACAGUUUUUCUCCACUGAUGUUCCUCCACGUGGAAACACAAAGAGUGGGAAUUAGGGCUCCAGCCUACAGUAUGGACAUCUGAAACCCUGAGUCUGGCAAAGCCAAGGGACAGAAGCGGUUUCAGUUGGAGCACACUUUGAGUUUUGAUAUUUUACUGUACUGGAAUUUUUAUGAGCAAAAUAACAAUUUUUUAAAAAUAUCUUGGAAAGAAAAAAAUGUAAAAAUCCAUCUGAGAAUUCACAGGUAAGACUUUCUAGAGACAGUCGUGAGAAAAAAUAAUACUUCUACUUGCACCCUACCAAUUCCAACUCAUUUAAUAAAUUGGAUACAGAAGGCUCCAAAGUUUUUGGCAUGAACAACUGGGCACAUGAUGGUGUUGUUUACAAAAGUAGAGAAGGUUUUGGGGGAAAUUUCAACUUAGAUUGGAAACAUGUUAAGACAGAUGCUCAUCAGACAUGUAAGUGAGUACACUAGAGUAGACUUGUGUUCAGGAGAGAGGUCAAGGCUAGAGAAAGGAAUUUAGGAGUUACCUAUUUUUAGGUGAUGUUUGAGAAUAGGAGAUUGGACAAGAUCAACUAGAAAGUGAGUGUUCCAAAGAAGAUUUUCUGGGUGAGUCCUGGGGCAGGAAUAGUUUCCAGUUCAGAAGAGAAGUAGCCAGAAAAACAGGAGAAAAACCAGGGUAAUGUGGAGUCAGGGAAGCCAGGCAAAGACAUGGUUGCGUAAAGGUUUUAGAGGAAUUG